rnacentral:rRNA from 1 species
GAUGAACGCUGGCGGCGUGCCUAAUACAUGCAAGUCGAGCGAACGGACGAGAAUCUUGCUUCUCUGAUGUUAGCGGCGGGCGGGUGAGUAACACGUGUAUAACCUGCCGAUAAGACUGGGGUAAGUUCGGGAAACCUGAUCUAAUACCCGAUCAUAGGUUGAACCGCAUGGUUCAUAGGUGAAAGCGGGUUUUGCUGACCCUUAUAGGUGGUACCGCGCUGCAUUAGCUAGUUGGUAAGGUAACGGCGUACCAAGGCAACGAUGCGUGGCCGGGCUGAGAGGGUGAUCAGUCACACUGGAACUGAGACACGGUCCAGACUCCUACGGGAGGCAGCAGUAGGGAAUAUUGCACAAUGGGCGAAAGCCUGACGCAGCAAUGCCGCGUGAGUGAAGAAGGUCUUCGGAUCGUAAAACUCUGUUAUUAGGGAAGAACAUCUGUGUAAUAAAAUGUGCACAUCUUGACGGUACCUAAUCAGAAAGCAACGGCUAACUACGUG